rnacentral:rRNA from 1 species
UACAGGGGGUGCAAACGUUGCUCGGAAUUAUUGGGCGUAAAGCGCACGUAGGCGGUUUGUUAUGUCGGAUGUGAAAGCCCUUGGCUCAACUGAGGAAGUGCAUCCGAAACUGGCAAGCUAGAGUAUGUAAGAGGGUCGCGGAAUUCCCGGUGUAGAGGUGAAAUUCGUAGAUAUCGGGAGGAACACCGGUGGCGAAGGCGGCGACCUGGGACAAUACUGACGCUGAGGAGCGAAAGCAUGGGUAGCGAACAGG